AUAAGUGACAUCGUCAACCGCGCGGGGAACGUAAAUCAAUUAUGUAUUUGUUUGUUUUUUCUCGUUUAACUAUUACAAAAUCAUUUCCCUGUUCGAGUGUCGAAGCCCGCCACAGAAGUAUGCACUCACACACAUACACACACAGAUCCCGUUAUGAUAUUUCAGCGCGGUGCUCCAUGUUGUGUUUUUUGUGUUGUUUAUUUUUUUUGUUUGUAUUUUCUUAGUUUAAAAUCUUAAACGUAAUGGAAAAAAAAUUAUAUUUUCUUUAUGUGGUCGCCUUACAAAUAAAUACCAACAAAUAGUAAUACUAGCAGCACAGCAACGAGUAUCGUAAUGAGCAUUAUCUUUUUCUGCAACGAACAACAAGAAACGAGAGUGGCGUGUAUUAUGUGACUCUCUGGUUGAGUGUCAACCACCUGGGAAGUGCAGGCAGGCACACCUCACCGCCUGCCAGAACGAUAAGAGCCAGGCACUUGAUCUGUAAGAAUGCGAUUGAAGAAAUUAGGAUUGCCUUUUAGCAGGCUGGCGGAGACUGGAGACUGAUAAACCUUCUGGACACACUGGAUACGCACGACGGAUGACACUUGAAUCGGUGGUGACGGUGUGUGAGCCACUGCGUAUACUCGUUAUUUUUGAUAUUUGAUAAUUCAGAGGCAACAAUGAAACGAGCAGA